AUUGAACGCUAGCGGGAUGCUACACAUGCACGUCGAACGAGUGGCGGACGGGUGAGUAAUAUAUCGGAACGUGCCCAGUAGCGGGGGAUCACUACUCGAAAAAGUGGCUACUACCGCAUACUAUUGGAGCGGCCGAUAUGGGAUUAGCUAGUUGGUGGGGUAAAGGCGCACCAAGGCAACGAUCCGUAGCUGGUUUGAGAGGACGAUCAGCCACACUGGGACUGAGACACGGCCCAGACUCCUACGGGAGGCAGCAGUGGGGAAUUGUGGACAAUGGGGGAAACCCUGAUCCAGCCAUCCCGCGUGUAUGAGAAGGCCUUCGGGUUGUAAAGUACUUGUGUCAGAGAAGCGGUAUCUGCAGAAUAAGCAACGGCUAACUACGUGCCAGCAGCCGCGGUAAUUC
rnacentral:rRNA from 1 species